rnacentral:rRNA from 1 species
CGCGUUGGUGACCUGCUCGAAUUUGGGAUAACAGUUCAAGGACUGCUAAUACCGGAUGUGAUCGCGGAGAUUUAGAGGCUCUGUGAUUAAAGGAGAAAUUCGCUUCGAGAGGGGGCCUGCGUCCCAUCAGCUAGUUGGUAAGGUAAAGGCUUACCAAGGCGAUGACGGGUAGGGGACCUGAGAGGGUGGCCCCCCACAAUGGAACUGAAACACGGUCCAUACACCUACGGGUGGCAGCAGUAGGGAAUAUUGCAUAAUGGGCGAAAGCCUGAUGCAGCAACGCCGCGUGUGCGAUGAAGGCCUUCGGGUCGUAAAGCACUUUUGGAGGGGGAUGAGGAAGGACAGUACCCUUCGAAUAAGCUUCGGCUAACUACGUG